rnacentral:rRNA from 1 species
CUGGUCUUGACAUCCACGGAAGUUUUCAGAGAUGAGAAUGUGCCUUCGGGAACCGUGAGACAGGUGCUGCAUGGCUGUCGUCAGCUCGUGUUGUGAAAUGUUGGGUUAAGUCCCGCAACGAGCGCAACCCCUGUCUCUAGUUGCUACCAUUAAGUUGAGCACUCUAGAGAGACUGCCCGUGUUAAACGGGAGGAAGGUGGGGACGACGUCAAGUCCUCAUGGCCCUUAUGUCCAGGGCUACACACGUGCUACAAUGGGCGGUACAAAGGGCUGCGAACCCGUGAGGGGAAGCCAAUCCCAAAAAGCCGCUCUCAGUUCGGAUUGGAGUCUGCAACUCGACUCCAUGAAGGCGGAAUCGCUAGUAAUCGCGGAUCAGCACGCCGCGGUGAAUACGUUCCC